UAAAUUUAACAACAAAAAAUGACAUUAGAGAAAGUGUUUAGUUCAAAAUUAUGGGGAAACACGUAG
ensembl:ncRNA D2013.13 ncRNA